rnacentral:rRNA from 1 species
AUUGAACGCUGGCGGCAUGCCUUACACAUGCAAGUCGAACGGCAGCACGGGAGCAAUCCUGGUGGCGAGUGGCGAACGGGUGAGUAAUAUAUCGGAACGUGCCCAGUCGUGGGGGAUAACGUAGCGAAAGCUACGCUAAUACCGCAUACGAUCUAUGGAUGAAAGCGGGGGGUCGCAAGACCUCGCGCGGCUGGAGCGGCCGAUAUCAGAUUAGGUAGUUGGUGAGGUACAGGCUCACCAAGCCGACGAUCUGUAGCUGGUCUGAGAGGACGACCAGCCACACUGGAACUGAGACACGGUCCAGACUCCUACGGGAGGCAGCAGUGGGGAAUUUUGGACAAUGGGCGCAAGCCUGAUCCAGCAAUGCUGCGUGCAGGAUGAAGGCCUUCGGGUUGUAAACUGCUUUUGUACGGAACGAAACGGUGAGCUCUAAUACAGUUUGCUAAUGACGGUACCGUAAGAAUAAGCACCGGCUAACUACGUGCCAGCCGCCGCAGUAA